rnacentral:rRNA from 1 species
ACCUUACCAAGGCUUGACAUAUACAGGAAUAUGGCAGAGAUGUCAUAGCCGCAAGGUCUGUAUACAGGUGGUGCAUGGUUGUCGUCAGCUCGUGUCGUGAGAUGUUGGGUUAAGUCCCGCAACGAGCGCAACCCUCGUUCUGUGUUGCCAGCAUUUAGUUGGGGACUCACAGGAGACUGCCGGGGUUAACUCGGAGGAAGGUGGGGAUGACGUCAAAUCAUCAUGCCCCUUAUGUCUUGGGCUGCACGCAUGCUACAAUGGCUGGUACAAACGGCUGCAAUACCGCAAGGUGGAGCGAAUCCGAGAAAGCCAGUCUCAGUUCGGAUUGGGGUCUGCAACUCGACCCCAUGAAGUCGGAGUUGCUAGUAAUCGUAGAUCAGCAACGCUACGGUGAAUACGUUCCCGGGGCUUGUACACACCGCCCGUCACGUCACGAAAGUCGGUAACACCCGAAGUCAGUGGCCCAACCGCAAGGAGG